AAGAAGCGCUUAACAACUCUUCAAGUGACUCCAUCAAGGCCUGUUUCUAGUUUUGUGAAGGAUUCAAGUGUGGCAGCCUCGUGUUUUAAAAAAUGCGCGGCGGCAUUCCUCUCAUAACUGUACGAUUAGAUAGCGCAGUUUUUGGAACAGAUACAGAUAUGGAACUUCAUCUUUUCAUGACUGAUGUUCAAUCUACGUCUUAUAUGGAAGAUUUUUCCGUGAAUUGCGUCAUGGCGUACAUUAGGCACCUCUACGAUGUUUUAGUGAAGCGAGAGAUAGAACACAAAUUCGAAUUUAUAAACCCUGCAUCAGUAAGCUCUGCAAAAGAUAGUGAUUUGUCAAAACUAAUAACUUCAAGAUUGGAUAAAUCAACUUGCGAAUGGGUUUUGAUUCAUGUCAAUCCAGAGGGAGAAGGUUGGCUUCUCGCCGUUAUACAUAUGGAGACCAUGAGUUGUUAUUGGCUGGAUCCAUCAGGGCGCCAAUGUCAAUCUAACUUCAAACAUUUUG